rnacentral:rRNA from 1 species
AACGAACGCUGGCGGCAGGCUUAACACAUGCAAGUCGAACGCAUCGCAAGAUGAGUGGCAGACGGGUGAGUAACGCGUGGGAACAUACCCUUUUCUACGGAAUAGCUCUGGGAAACUGGAAUUAAUACCGUAUACGCCCUACGGGGGAAAGAUUUAUCGGAGAAGGAUUGGCCCGCGUUGGAUUAGCUGGUUGAUGGGGUAAGGGCCUACCAAGGCGACGAUCCAUAGCUGGUCUGAGAGGAUGAUCAGCCACAUUGGGACUGAGACACGGCCCAAAAUCCUACGGGAGGCAGCGGUGGGGAGUAUUGGACAAUGAGCGCAAGGCUGAUCCAGCCAUGCCGCGUGAGUGAUGAAGGCCUUAGGGUUGUAAAGCUCUUUCACCGAUGAAGAUAAUGACGGUAGUCGGAGAAGAAGCCCCGGCUAACUUCGUGCCAGCAGCCGCAGUAAAAC